rnacentral:rRNA from 1 species
CCCUUAGAUGUUCUGGGCCGCACGCGCGCUACACUGAUGCAUUCAACGAGUCUAAAACCUGCUCUGAUAGGGGUGGGUAAUCUUUUGAAUGUGCAUCGUGAUUGGGAUAGAUGAUUGCAAUUUUUCAUCUUCAACGAGGAAUGCCUAGUAAACGCAAGUCAUCAGCUUGCAUUGAUUACGUCCCUGCCCUUUGUUCACACCGCCCGUCGCUCCUACCGAUUGAAUGAUCCGAUGAAUAUCAUGGAUUGAGGAUGCAAGUAGGUUAGCCUAUCUUCAUCUUCGAGAAGUGAAGUAAAUCUUAUCAUUUAGAGGAAGGAGAAGUCGUAACA